CUUAUCUAUGUCUAAAUGUGCACAAAUCCAAAGUGCAGCUAAAGUGUAUCUAAAAAGAAAACAUGGCAAGACAUGCACAGCUCUUAGGGUGCACUCACACUAGGCCAUCUUGCCGUGGCCGUUGGCCGUUUUCACACCUUCGGCCAUCAAUUGACGAGAAGGGACAUCUAGUUCAACUGGUUGAGCUGUGUUGAUUCGGCUGCACAAAUAUGUGCCCAGGGUGAUUGUUGAUUGUGAAUUCGAUUCAUUCGACUCCUCUACACACUUGCCAAUCUUCUGGCCAUCGAGACUUUAUUGCAGUUCAAUCAGGUUGAUUGUGAAUUCUCUUUCAUGGACAUCCGAGCAUCUCCAGCUAAAAGGAUGCCCCACGCUGUCUUGGCCAUCCUGACGAUAUGUGUGUGCAUUGCAAAUACGCUGGAUGUCAAUAGACUGGCUAGCCUCAAGAAGGAGAUCCAAGCUUUGGAGUUGAAGGCCAAUUCCCUGAAGGCACUCUACAACACUCAGCAGGAAGCGCUCGCGGACAGGAUAACGGACGCGACGUCGAACGCCACUCAAAGGGCUGCGCGCCAUUUGUCGGCACACGAGAAGCACCUUUUGAAGGCGGAGGAGUCGAACUCUGAGCAAAAAGCACAAUUUCAGCAGUUAACUAAAGACACGGAGCUGGUUUGGGAGAAAAUCCAGGGGGAAAUCAAGAGAGCCAAAAACUUAGUCCGUAUAAUCGAGGUGAUGAACCAGGAGUUAUAAUCACACCGUCGCGGCUGUUCGAGAGUGUUGAAUUAAAUAACAAAUUAUUAGUUGAUGCAGUGAGAUGCAUUAUUAUAUUCAGGGUUCGAGUUAUGACUCCAUCUCUGUGGGGGUCUCUUAAAGUUGUGGUCGGGUUACACCGAAUUCUGCGACCCACCGAAAAGUGUGGUCGCUGUUGCACAUUUUCUGCAACAUGCACGUUUGCAUUAUAACAAAAAAAUAAAUAAAACAUAAGAUCUCCCCCCACCGGUGGGUCUUUCUUUUCUUGAUACUAACAUUAAUUCUAAACAGAGUUUUACACAGUAGGCCUAGGCCUAGGCUAUAAUAGGAAAUGCUCAAAGGUAAAUCAGCGUAAUUGAACACUGACUGUAGCUUAGGGUAAAGAAGCAAUGGUGAAGGACCGUACUAAACGCCCUAUCAUUGUAUGGGUCUGUAAAAUGCUAAUCAAAUC
ensembl:lncRNA